AGAACACCCCAGCAGGUGUCAGGGACAGGGCAGUAUUCCAGCUUCAGCCUGUCUACCUCUGGAGCUCUCCUGAUCAAUACAUCAGAGAAGAUGAUGGAGCCCUCCUGCCGCUCUUGGGGAGAGUUGCGUCGCUGCUGUCAUCGAUGCCGUGCUGGACCUCACAGCGAUAGAUACCUGAGUCGUUGGGGCGCAGCUCGCUCAGCGCCAGGGAGACGUCGGUGAGCGACGCUGGGUACGCAGGCAGUGCCACGCGGAACCGGUAGGCCUCGUUCACCUUGACGCGCACUCCCCGCGCCACCAGCACCUCUGCCUCCCGGCCCCGGGACAGGAAAGUCCACUUGACCCGCGGAGAGCCCAGCACAGCCCGGCGGCUCGGCGGUGGCCGCAGGUAGUGGACGUGGCAAGGGAUGGUGAGGGCGCCGCCGAGCACGCCCUGCAGUGGCGCGUCGCCCGCGAUGCGCACGCGAAAAGCGCGGUCCUCUGUGAACGGGUGGAGCCGGCUGGAACUUAACGCUGUCGACCCUCAGAGUCCCACCCGGUGGCCUCCAAGCCCCGCUCCAGGAUCCCUCCUUCCGGCCCCAGGAUUCCCCGGCCCCCCUAGGACCAGGGGCCAGGGGCCAGGGGCCAGGGUCCUGCAGCCCUACCUCUAGGUCCUCCAGGACCACCCCGACGGUCUCCAGACCCAUCCCCCAAAGUCUCCCAGUCAAUUCAGCCCCCAGGAUUCCUUGCCCUGCUCUCAGAGUCUUCCACUUCCUCUCCAAAAUUCCUAGACCACACCCCAGGGUCCUCCAACCUCGCCCCCUGAGUCCUCCAGCCCAGUUUCCCAGUCUGCUCCCUUUAGGGCCUCCUUCAGGGUUUCUCCCAGUUCCACCCCUUUCCCACCUCCUAGCUUCAGGAUCCCCUAUCCUCCACCUUAGGGGCCCAAAGCCUUGCACCCAGUGCCCUUCCCUAGUCCUGCCCCAUGAUUUCUCCAACCCACCAGAUGCUCACAGCUCAGCCCUUAUUUCCAAGUGUUCCAGCCUGGACGCUUCCCCACAGCCCUCCAAUUCUCUCUCUUCCUGGGGCCCCUAAGCCUGGAAGCAGUUGGUUAGGGCUGAACAAGACAGAGACGGUGACCCCAAGUGGGGUUGCUUACCUGAGCUGUCUCCUUCCAGAACAUCUGCUAAAGCUGCAGGAGCCUGGGCCAGGACCAGGGCUGCCAGCAGGGGCAGGAACAGCUGGGCCAUGCUGCAGGCUGACAGAGGGACAUGAGAAGGAAAGAUGGGGUUAGACUUCAGGAUGGACUUCCCCCCUGCUCCCUACCACACCCAUGUGGGUUCACACAUAUCCUGGCUCCAGAAGUCCCCUACCUUCACAUCACCAUGGACUCUCUGUUUCUGAUCCCCAUCUUCCCAGCAAGUGAUUUCUUCUCAGAACCAAAACCCGAGUCCUAGUCAACUCACUGUGUGACCUAAGCCAAGCUCCUUACCUUCUCUGAGCCUUUAUUUUCUUACUUAUAAAAAAGCAUCAUCAUUACUAUCUCAUGAGUUGAGAUAGGACCAUGUGCUUUGAGAGUGUUUAGUAUCUUAAAACUCCUGUACAAAUGCAUAGCACCAGGCAGACAGUAGGAGCUCAGUUUACAGCAUGAAUGGUGGGUGCUCUUAUACUCAGAAUUCCAUCUGCUCCUCCCAGUGCCAGACUCCUUCCUCGAACCCAGAGCCUUCUCCCAUAGUAUCUCUUUAGCCUCUUCUGCCUUCUAGACUGUCCCUGCCUCCAGGGACACCAUACUCACCUGGCCUUUUCCAGGAGGGCCUCCUAGACCGAACGCAAGUAAGCACAGCUUCUCCUGAGCCCACCCUCUCCUCUACUUCCUCCCCACCAUUAUUUGUAAGGAAACUCCUCUCUUUACUCCCCAACAUUCUCCAUCCCCCUUCCUUGGCUGCCUCCUCCCUUCUUCUUCCCAGCCUCUCCUUUCUGCCUGGCACGGGCUUUCCCACCGGAACUCUUGGCUCAGAAAUCAGUUGGGACAAAGCCCCUGUCUCUGCCAGUCUGGCCUCUAUCCAGCCCCUCCCUUCCCCCACCCUACCUUUUGUGAAAGCCUUGGGCUGGAGGGUGGACUAAGGGGGGGGAGAAUAAAUGGGAGGGGCUACCCCUUCCUACCCCUGGCUAUCAGAAGCUCUAGAACCCAGAAUAUUCCUCCAAAGAUCUCGAAGCACUUACACUCUCAUAAAAAGGAUGUGUUGUGACAUUGAGAAAUGGAGACUGAGGCUCAGAGAAGGAUAGGGCUGACCCUGGAUCCCUAGUAAAGCCAAGUCAGGCACGAGGGCAAUGUGCUCCCAGGAGAGAAGACUCAGAGCUACAUCAUCUUUAAGGGUUGGGCUAAACUUAGAAGAGCAUGGAGAUCCAGGUAUGCCAUGGAAUAGGCCAAUGAUGCAGCAAGAGAAUUGAAGGUUAGACUACAGGCAGGACUUCCUAGAGAUCAGGUUUAUUCCACUGGCUGUGCACUCCCAUUCCAGGCCCACUGUUUAUCCCCCAUCUUCCCUGCCCUCUCAGCAUCUGCCUUCAUACCUGUCCCUGCACUUUCCUAAGCCUGAGAUGAUGGGAAAUUUCCUACUUUUCCCAGAUCCUCCCACCUCCCUGCCAUCAUAACCCCCAUCUCCCCCACUGUGUCUGGAUAUCAUUCCCUAGGGUCAGAGUUGGGAGAGGAGUGGCACAACCAGAUGCUUAGGGCCUCUCUCUGACCUUUCAGAGGGAGGAGGUUCUUGAUGGGGCCAGAUUAGAGGUGCGGAGACCAGCUCCAGGCAUUGGGGUGCUUGGGAGGACUGUUCUGGGGCUGGAGUGGGGACCAUUGGGCAGGAGCAGCCAGUGCCCACCGGGUGCUGGGAAGACUGUUUGCCAUGCAUCUGAGCUGUGCCAGGGCCUGGGCCUGGCCCCCUUCUGGUGCCCUCCCUCCCUUCUCUCUGGGCUGGAGCUGGAGCUGCUCACAGACCUGGCUCCCAUCUCUCUGACGGGCAGCCCAGAGACCCAUAUAGUUGGAGUCAUUUUGGGGCCAACACCCUGGACCACCCUUUCACCUCUGUCUGACAGUGGGAGAGUGAGGGAAGAGGGCCUAAGGCCAAUGAGGACCUAACUGCUCUGGAACAUGGAGGGCAACCUACCCUUGACCCCAAAAAUGGGAGUCACUGACCAGUGAGGCCAAGAGGGUAGCCCCGUGCAGUUCUGAGAGAGCUCUGUCUCUCCAGUCUCGGGCCUCAGCCUCCCAAUUGCAGCUAGGAGCCCUGAGGAAACUCAGACUUCCCCACAUCCGGUACCAGCCUCAGAACCCAGGGGUCCAGGGUUCUGUGGCCUUCUCUAUCCCACACACCACUCAUCUCCACUUCCUCUUCUCUUCCUCCAGAGCAGGCCACACCUCUCCAACUCUAACCCUGAGAGCUCAGCAGUCAUGCGGUCCGUUCCCUUGACGCCACAACAUCCCCCUCUCUGUUUCAGCUCCAGCGUCUGUAUCUCUGCCCUUGUUUUGAAUUUCUUGAGCUGUUCAGGAAACUUUCCUCUUGUCACAUCAUUUCUGUCUGACCCGGGAUGUCCAUCUCCCUCACAGUCUUCAUAGACCCAACCCAGAGAGUUAAGACCAGGUCUCUCUCUCUCUCUCUCUCUCUCUCUCUCUCUGUGUGUGUGUGUGUGUGUGUGUGUGUAGGCAUGCACGUGUGUACACACAUCUAACAACACCCACCACCUCCAUGCUGAAUGCCCAUCAGCCGGCAGCCAAGGUCUGUCCCAUAGGAACUGAGCUCCAGCACUCAGCAGGGUCAGCAGGGAGGCACAAGAAGCCAGAGCUUUGGCUAUAGCAGGAGGGAAGCUCUCUGCUACCCCCUUAACGGCUUCAUGAGGAGCAACAUGAGCCUACACAAUAUAAGCAGGGCCUUAGGGCCUGUAGAAGUAAUUGCAAUCAUCAUAUAAAUAGUCCUUUUUAUUGGAAGCAAAACUAAUAAUACUAUUAGCAAUGACACCAGCCGAGCAGUUGCAGAUCCCUCUCGUAUAGAAUCUGAAAUGUGGAUGAUGCUGUUAUAAAUAGCAAAGUUAGCCAUAGCAACAUAGGCACUGGUAAUACUGUGGGUGGGUCUAAGGGUAACACUGUUCCCUGAUCUUACUGUCAUCAUCUGCAAUCUAAGUAAUGCAGAUAAUAAUGGUGCCCCUUGGACUUGACGCCAAUCUCUUGGUCCUAUUAGAACCAUGUAGGCAGAGCUAUUCCAAUAGGUGGGGGAAUACCUGACAGGAUAUGGAAAUACCUGGGAGAGGGAAUUCCCAGGCCCCUGGCAGUGCUAGGAAGGAAUGCAAUAGUGGUAACCGAAUUCCAGCUAAUAGUUACUGAUGUCUACCUGAGCCAGUUCUCCUAAAUGCUUCCUGUGGAUAACCUCAACUGUGAGAAAAAGAUUGUUUAUGUUUUGCUCAUUACACCGAUGAGGAACCCGAGGUUCAGAGAAGUCAACUAACUACCCCAAGGUCACAGAGCAAGGAGCCGAGUUGGGAUUCCAGCCGAAAUGGGCACUCCGACCACCCCCUAGAGCGGCUCUGAUCGGCUGUCCUGCCGGACUACAGUAAGGUGUCCCCAGAAGGGUUGCUGGCCGCUGCUCCUGGAGCUGCCUGUGCGUGGGGGCACGGAGGCAAGGACUGAUCCGGAACGCUACCGCCCUGCCUGGGACAAGGUCGGAAAUCUCGGCGGCCGCGCUGGGACAGGAGCGCGCAGCAGGGAAGAUGCGAGGACCCGAGGGGUUGCUGAUCAGACUGCGAGCAGCAGGGGGGCUGCCACUGGCAGAGCUGGAAGCAUGUAGAUCAGAGAUGGCUGCAGCUGCAGCUGAGACUGCGGCGGAGACUGCGCGAGCGUGAGGAGAGGCUGGGGCCGCAGGACAUUCGGAAGAGGGCGCCGGCCCUCCCGGCGCAGCACAAAACCCCCUUUCUUCCCCCCGCCCCUGCCCCGCCCUCCCCGGGGCCGCCCCCGCCCCCUGGUCGGGAGCGCGGGGCUCUCGGGACGGUCACGGGACCCGCUGCCUUCUCUGCUUCGGCUCCGGCAGCAGCGGCGAGAGCAAGGACGAGCGAAGUAGGACAUCGUUCAGCGGAUGAGAAGCCGAGGGCUUGGAGUAGGGAGGAGGGGCAGGAGGGGCGGGGAGGGAGCGUUCGCCCAGCGUUCGCUGAGCUAAAGGAUGACGAUGUUGCAGCUGGAGGGGUGGAAGUUGGACAACUGGAGAGUCUUCUCGUUGUUCAAAGAAGAAGGAGGAGGGAGUCAAUUAGACUGUAAGAAGUGGAUGAAGGGAGAAUGGGGGCUUUGCUCCUGAAAAGAGACACCCUUUCUAAUAAAAAAAAUGGAAAACUCUUUUCUGGAGGCAGAAUGGGGUGCAAAGGACCGUAGCUACCUCCCUGGAGGCAGCUAUGAUUGGGCAUUGGCUCCUGUGGUGCUCCCACUCCCUGCACAGAGGAGGAGCUGACUUUGCAGCUGGAAGGAUGGAGGUUAGACAGCAGAAUCAUGGGUUAAGCAAAGCAAUUCAGGAAAUCUCUAGACCUGGGGUGGGGGUGGGGUGAGGGUGGCCCUGUGAAGGGACAUUACCAGUCAUGCAAACCAAUGUGCAAAAUGCAGGCGUUGCUGGGAGCCCAGAAGGCCUACUGGCCAGGGCUGUCGAUGCUGAAUGUGCAGCCUGAUGCCAGGGGGUGGGCCUUGAGUGCUGCCCAGCCAGGAACUCCUCAGCGCCCAGAAUACCAAUGACCCUCCUUUCCCCCAGCUCCAGGGCCUCUGCUUCCCUCUCCUUUCCCAGGCUCUCUUUGCUUUUCCCUCCUCCCUCCUGGGACUGUAGGCAAAGCCCCUGGCACGGACAGUGGGCAGGACAGCCAGAUGCCUAGAUUCCCUCCCCUGGAUACCAAUAUUGGCACCAAGGAUAGCUUUGGAGGGCUUUGAUCCUCAUAAUCUCCACAGCAUCUUCAAAAUACCCCAAGUAAAGUAAGGUGCAUUCAAUGCAAAUGCAACCUCAAGGCAGAUCCCCAGCCUUCCAUCUAGACUGCACCCUAGGUCCCUCUUGGGAACUCUGGACUGCUCCCCACUGAAUGUGCCAACGCCCCCACUCACCACUGCCUGGCUUUCACUCCCAGUGCCAUGGACUUGGUUCCAAAGGGCUUUGAGAACCUCACAUAAAAACCCACUCCAAAUCUUUGAGGGUCUAAAGGGAAGAUUCUGGCCCCUUCCCAGAGACCCAUCUACUGUAGGGACAGGAAAAGAAGACCUGGGGGGUAGGGAGGGGUAGAUGGUAAAUUUCCUUACCAAGAAAAAUGCCAGCCAGGUGCGGUGUCUCAUGCCUAUAAUCCCAGCAUUGGAAGGCCAAGGUGGGCGGAUCACCUGAAGUCGGGAGUUCAAGACCAGCCUAGUGAACAUAGCGAAACCCCAUCUCUACUAAAAAAAUACAAAAAUUAGCCGGUGUGGUGGUGGACACCUGUAAUCCCAGCUACUUGGGAGGCUGAGGCAGGGAGGAUUGCUUGAACCUGGGAAGUGGAGGUUGCAGUGAGCUGAGAUCGUGCCACUGCAUUAUAUCCUGGGUGAUAGAGUGAGGCUCCCUCUCAAAAAAAAAAAAAAAAAAAAGAAAAGAAAAGAAAAGAAAAGAAAAAUGCCCCAGAAAGGAUGCAAGACUGAAGGGGACAGAGGAAGGUGCCUGGGACAGUCUGGGGAGGAAGGGACCUCGAUCUAUUUACUUCGUUAGACCAAUAUGAGUUGAAUUGAAUUCCAGCUGUGGACCAGGAACUGCUCGAGGCCUGGAAAUGCAGUUCCAAUUCUUCUAGUAGAAAGAGCGGAUCUGAGAAGGCCUUCGGGGACAGAUCUGGGCAGCCUUAGGAUGUCUUUUUGCUCCCCUUAGAAGUUGCAUUUCAGAGCUGCAAGAAAACCCCCCUUCCUCAGGACAGUCUCAGCAUGGAUGCAUGUGUCCAGCCUACCUCCACACUGGCUCUACAGGGCUUGAGGCCAGCCAGGCUGAGCCAGGCAACCAAGCGGCUGAAAUUUAAUCCCAGUGGUGGCUCAGAUGUAACCACAGUUCUUGCCUCAGGGAAACCUGGCUGUGACCAGAGAAGGCAGAGAAAGUGACCUUCCUUACCACCUCUCCUCAUGACCAGAAGGAUUGGCACUCACUUCGGUGCCCUGGGGGAAUCCACCCUUGACUGAGGCCAGCAGCACCUGGGUCUGGACAAGGGCUGGUACCAGACAGUCUGUUCCAAAAAGCAGAUCCCUGGUGGGAGACCAGACGUGGUGAGAGAACAGACAGCUGCUGUUGCGCAGACGAGGACUCUGGCAUCACAGGCACUGAGGUCAAAUUCCUGUUUUGUCAUUUGCAGUGGCAAACCUCAGAAAGGGCCCCGUUCCUCCUCUGAAACUCUCUCUUCUGAACAGUGGGCUGAAUAAUAUCUACUGCACUGGGCAAUAUCUACCUUAACAGCUUCACCUGGA
rnacentral:lncRNA from 1 species